UACGAAGGGUGCAAGCGUUGUUCGGAAUCACUGGGCGUAAAGCGCAAGCAGGUUGCAUGUUAUGUCAGUUGUGAAAUCCUGGGGCUUAACUCCAGAUCUGCAUCUGAAACUAACAUGCUAGAGUACAGUAGAGGGUGGCGGAAUUCCUGGUGUAGAGGUGAAAUUCGUAGAGAUUAGGAGGAACACCGGAGGCGAAGGCGGCCACCUGGACUUGUACUGACACUCAGAUGCGAAAGCGUGGGGAUCAAACAGG
rnacentral:rRNA from 1 species